UACGAAGGGGGCUAGCGUUGCUCGGAAUCACUGGGCGUAAAGCGCACGUAGGCGGACUCUUAAGUCGGUGGUGAAAUCCUGGAGCUCAACUCCAGAACUGCCUUCGAUACUGAGAGUCUCGAGUCCGGGAGAGGUGAGUGGAACUGCGAGUGUAGAGGUGAAAUUCGUAGAUAUCGAGAGGAACACCGGUGGCGAAGGCGGCGAUCUGGACGGUGACUGACGCUGAGACGCGAAAGCGUGGGGAGCGAACAGG
rnacentral:rRNA from 1 species